rnacentral:rRNA from 1 species
AGUGAACGCUGGCGGUAUGCCUAAUACAUGCAGGUCGAGCGGCCGGACAGUAAGCUCGCGCUCCUACGGGUGGCGACUGACGGACGGGUGACGCGUACAUCACAAUCCACUUUGUCGUGGGUGAUAACGUAGAGCAAGAGACGCUACUACCUCAUAUAAUCUACGGGUGAAAUCAAUGGAUCUACGCGGCUUUCCCGUCUGUAUGAGCCGAUGCCGCAUUAGCUAGUUGGCUAGGUAACGGCACACCAAGGCGACGAUACGUAGCUGGUCUGAGAGGAUGAUCAGCCACACUGGAACUGAGACACGGUCCAGACUCCUACGGGAGGCAGCAGUAGGGAAUCUUGCGCAAUGGGCGAAAGCCUGACGCAGCAAUGCCGCGUGAGUGAUGAAGGCCUUCGGAUUGUAAAACCCUUUUAUUAGGAAAGAACAGAAGCGGAAUUAACUCCGCACGUUCUGACGGUACCCAAUCAGAAAGCCACGGCUAACUUCGUG